ensembl:snoRNA
AGGUCAUUUCAAAGAGGGCUUGUUGGACUGUAAACCCAAAUCUCUUAACACUGACCAAAAAUUGAGGCUCUCCACAGAAUGCCAGAGGCACUUCCUAGCGCUGCUGUGUUUUUCUGAGGAGAUACAGGC